UACGUAGGUGGCGAGCGUUAUCCGGAAUGAUUGGGCGUAAAGGGUGCGUAGGUGGCAGAUCAAGUCUGGAGUAAAAGGUAUAGGCUCAACCCGUACUGGCUCUGGAAACUGAUCAGCUAGAGAACAGAAGAGGACGGCGGAACUCCAUGUGUAGCGGUAAAAUGCGUAGAUAUAUGGAAGAACACCGGUGGCGAAGGCGGCCGUCUGGUCUGGAUUCUGACACUGAAGCACGAAAGCGUGGGGAGCAAAUAGG
rnacentral:rRNA from 1 species